GUGAAAAUACUGAGGGAGACGGUGCCCGUCCAAAAAAUCAAGAAGAUGAAGAAGAUGAAGCUGCUGAAGAACAGGAUGAUCUCACAUGGAGAAAAAUUCACAGUGAUAGAGAAAAAUGGCUCCUGCAACAAAAGUCGCAACAGGAAACGAAUAAAGAAGUGCCAUUGGUUAUGAGCCGGCAAACUAAAAUGGUGAAAAUCAACACUGCUUCCAAAACCAUUAAUCAAAUUACAGAAGGCGAUUCCUCCGCUGCUACUGCCAACGCCAAGCAGUCAACGCAUUCUAAGGCGAACAUUGUGACCACUGUGAGAUGCGGAUCUUUUUUACGCAGAAGUGAAAAAGAUUUAUCAGAAAUUGCAUCGUUGAUGAAAUCCGUGUUACCUGUUCAGGCACCAAGGGUCGGUUCCAAUUUUGUAUUUGCAUCCAUUACUCCGGAGAGGCCAGUCGCCGAGCAAAAUAGGAAACAUAAACAAGAUGGACGUCACCGUCCUCCCUAUAGUUGGACGGUUGCCUCUCAGCUUGGCUUCCAAAUCACGGACUUUAUUGCUCAGCGAUUCGCUGCCUUCUGAUGCGCCACCUCCACGAGCUCCUGGUUUGCCAGUUCGAUCCUGUAGGUAUAGGAAAAAAAAGUUAAAGAUAAGAACAAUCGAUCAAACAAACACUCGAUCCGGCAAUGUCAAAUGCUGAGAACAUAUCCAAUGCAAACAAACACAACCGCAGACGCAAAACAAAGAUAAAUAAAAGGGUGCGCCACUCGUAA